CCAACAGAUCGCCAGAUCGUUGAGCUCCAUUGGCGGGAUUUCGCCGUCUACGUUUCUCUUUCUUCGCGGACGAACACGCGCUGGGCCUGCAUCGGCAGGAUCCAGGGUCCUUAACGGGAUAUGCGUUAGGGGCUUGUAGCUCAGUUGGUUAGAGCGCGCGCUUGAUAAGCGUGAGGUCGGAAGUUCAAGUCUUCCCAGGCCCACCACUUUCAUCGAGUGAGCAUUCGUCUUCUGGUCACGGGGCCAUAGCUCAGCUGGGAGAGCGCGUGCUUUGCAAGCAUGAGGUCGUCGGUUCGAUCCCGUCUGGCUCCACCAGAUGGUUUGAUCACCGAGAUCGUGCAAUCGUCGUCCGCGAAACAUCACUUCGCAUCCUGCUAGUCUGGAUAGACAGCAGUUUGCGUGUUUUCUGACAUCGUAAAGAGGAGAUCGAUCCGAGUUGGAUCGUGUAGCAGAUUGCUGCGCGGAUCCUUCAUUAUCUCCGGAUCAUUUUCGGCGCUCGCUUUCAGCCGUGAGGUUGAAUGCGAGUUGUAAAAUGAUCCUUUUAGCGAAGCUUGACCGCCUCGCUAUCGGAACGAUCUUACGAAGCAAGCUGGUCUUUCUAGUCAAUGUCCGGCUGUACGUAGCGUUCAUCGAGGGCGCGCGCCGAAGAGAUUUCGAUCUCGAGGCAAUCGUAGAGCCAACAUUCUGCCGAGUGUGUGGACAUUGAUAAUGAGAGC
rnacentral:tRNA from 1 species